rnacentral:lncRNA from 1 species
UUCCUCCCCAUCCACCUCUUCUCCAUCCUCCCCAUCCUCCUCGUCCUCGUCCUUGUCCUCCCCUCUGCCUCUGCCCAGUUGUUCCCACCACGUGGACUUUGACGUAGGCAGUGCGCCUAUUUACAAGAGCCAAGUUCCUGCCAGCGAAAUCUUUGUCACUAACGUUAGGUCGCUUGGUGUCCAGGAAAAGAUCAAGUUCAACAGCGACGGGAAAGUAAGUCACGAAACCAGCAGAGAUGGCAACGCCCUGGGCCAAGAACCUGUGGGAAACGACCUCGAUUUUGAGUGCAAAGGCCAAUUUUAUGAUUAUUUCGAGACUGGAUAUACCGAGAGAAACCGUAUGAGUGAGUCUUGGAAAAAGUCUUUGAGGAAAAAGGAGCUUUCCCCAAGCAACAAACUGUGCUGCAGCAGAGGGGGUAAAAUGUGACCCCCCCUCCCCCACCCCCAACUGGCGCAGAAGCACGCACAGCAUGAUCGGUUUUUACUUUGGGUUUUGUAGUUUUGUACAACCGAUAAAAUCACGCAGUGAACACGCCCGGUCGUCUCACUGCCCGGAGAGCAGAUUGCACAAAACAUCUGUACAGUAGGCAUCCACAAGCCACUUAUUAAUGUGAUUUUUGCCAAGGAAAGCCAACUUCAUGUUUCAAAGUAUAUCCUAGUUUCCUUUUUUUCUAAAAAAAAAAAAAUUAAAAAAAAAAAUCAGUAGAGUAGAUCGAAGACAACAUGCCCUUGUUAUGUUCCCACUGCCCCUCCACGGAGCCUGCCGCUAGCCAAGUUCAACAUGUUUGCCGGUUAAUUAGGUAGUUACUUGGUAAACAAAUCAAUAUAACCAGCAAAGGUGCCUGCUUCGAUGUGAUACGGUAUUUUUUCCCCCUGAGUGAAAGACUGAAGGCAGGAAGCUAGAUGAAGUGGUUUCGUGAGCUGUGACAUGUUUGUACUGGACAGGUUGGGGCGAAAUGAAGCACACCUGUCAGGCAGCAGUCUAGGCUCUGUGGAGUCAGUUCCCUACAAGCUCCUGGCUUGCCUGUGAUGGCUAGUGGGUGGCUAGAGAGGGGUGUGCAGGGCCACCUCUGACGGGGUCACAGGGAGGUGAUGUACAGAGCCGUCUCUGAUGGGGCGAGUAGGAGGUGGCACACAGAGCCAUCUUUGAUGGGGUGGCUAGAGAGGUGGCGUACAGGGCCAUCUUGGUGAUGGGGUGAUAGGUGGCGUAUAGGGCCAUCUUGGGUGCCUUACUUUAUCUUAAUUUUUGCCAGUGUGAAAAUUAAGGACGAAUCAGAGUUACAGCAGGGAUUUGACAAAACACAGGGUGGAUCCAUGCAGUUUGGAAGCUUAACUUUGAACUAUCGUGUUCAACUUUCAAGUUACCCUCCCCCUUUUUCCUUUGUUUAUGACUAAGCCCAGUGGCUGUGAGUCUGAUAUUUUUGCGUAGAGACGGAGAAGACAGUGGGGAAGGCCAUCAGGAACAGAGAAGGCUGCCUGGGUUCUCCAUGGCAACGAGCGGUUGCUGGGUCUGGACUCUCCCAGCUUUGGGCUGUUUUGUUUCCUUGUCCAGUGACAUUCACAGCCCGUGCGUGGCAUGCGUUAUAUUUUUGACCUGUUUUUGCAUCAUUUCAUGCGUUUAGACUCUUAAGAGCAUGUGGUUUCUAUAUACGAAUUUUUGCUGUUGAUUGAGAAGCACAAUGUUAAUAGAUUAUGUGGUGAUCAAUAUGUUUUAUCUUAAAGAAUGUAAAGGUUUGUAGGUUGCUGAACGUUAUUUUGGAGAAAUGGGGCUCUCUCGUCAUUGAUACUGUUGUGUAUUUGGCCGACACACUCCUCAAUACCUUGAAUUUGCACAUUGGCAAGUGUCCUCAGUGCUACUCUGGAGCAGUCCCACCAGCUCCCCGUGAACUACUCCCAUCUCCAAGGCCAAGGACUGGUCUGGGUGACCUGGGUCUCUUAAAAACCAUUAUUUACAGGAAACAAAUGCCAAAAGGAAGAAAUAGGUAAGUUCUCCCACUUUCUCCAAGAUGAAGCUUUUUAAUUAUUGCUAUUGAUAUUAAAUAGGUCUCAUUCAUACAGUGUAUGAGUAGAUCGUUUGGGCAAUUGUCCGCAAGGACCAAUUUUCUAAAGAUGUUCCUGUGUUAUGGCUGAAUAGUCUAGUAAUGUCUCGUCCUUUAUUUUCAAUAUUUGAUGAACAUUUUGGUGUUGGAAAUUUAGCUGAUAGAUGCUUGUACAUGACUGUGUUGUAAUAUAGUGAGGUUUUCUUGAUAUAUAUUUAUUAAAACGAUCAAAAUUCAUUACGUUUUUACAAAUUUC